AUGAGAGUGGCGCACGGGUGCGUAACACGUAUGUAACCUACCUUAAUCAGGGGGAUAGCCUCUCGAAAGAGAGAUUAACACCGCAUAACAUAUUUUUAUGGCAUCGUAGAAAUAUCAAAUAUUUAUAGGAUUAAGAUGGGCAUGCGGAACAUUAGCUAGUUGGUAAGGUAACGGCUUACCAAGGCUACGAUGUUUAGGGGAUCUGAGAGGAUGACCCCCCACACUGGUACUGAGACACGGACCAGACUCCUACGGGAGGCAGCAGUAAGGAAUAUUGGUCAAUGGGCGCAAGCCUGAACCAGCCAUGCCGCGUGCAGGAAGACGGCCCUAUGGGUUGUAAACUGCUUUUGUACCGGAAUAAACCCUUUUACGUGUAAAAGGCUGAAUGUACGGUAAGAAUAAGGAUCGGCUAACUCCGUGCCAGCAGCCGCGGUAAUACGGAGGAUCCAAGCGUUAUCCGGAUUUAUUGGGUUUAAAGGGUGCGUAGGCGGCCAAUUAAGUCAGGGGUGAAGGACGGUAGCUUAACUAUCGCAGUGCCUUUGAUACUGAUUGGCUUGAAUCCACUUGAGGUAGGCGGAAUGUGACAAGUAGCGGUGAAAUGCAUAGAUAUGUCACAGAACACCAAUUGCGAAGGCAGCUUACUAAAGUGGCAUUGACGCUGAGGCACGAAAGCGUGGGGAUCAAACAGGAUUAGAUACCCUGGUAGUCCACGCCCUAAACGAUGACACUCGAUGUUGGCGAUAUACGGUCA
rnacentral:rRNA from 1 species